UUUUCCGGGCCUGCGGUUUGCGCCGCGCGGGAGCCGGGGGGAAGGGGUGGGGAGGGCGGGAGUUCUGGCGCAUGCGUCGCCCGCGCGCGGCCUGCCCCUGGGCGAGGCAGGGGCUGGAGCGCAGUUGGGGAGCGGCGGCUGCGGAAGGGCGGGGCGUGGGCCUCGGAUCCGUGCCCGCGGGAGUGGCCGUGCAGGCGGAUCCGGAUCAGAUCUUUGUACGCUUACCGGAGCCUGAUGGUUUUCAGAAAGGCCGCGAUGGCGUUGGCCCUCCUGUUCUGAGGCCGCCGCGCGCUCGGCGAUGCAGGGAAUCCUCACCGUUCUGCUGUAACAGAUUAGGAAAGGGAGUCUCAGGCCCGCGAGUGCCUCGGAUGUGCAGCCCCGCGGGAGGUGGCGCUAGGAGUCGCGUCCACAGCUGGCUCCUCCCUAAGAAAUGAUUCUGCCUAAAUCCGGCUUUGUGUCCGACCCAGCACUGAGUCAGAGGGUAUCGCUGUCAAGUAUAACGUAGACUCCGCUUUAUUGUGGGGCACUGGUAUUUUGGGGAUUCUUGGUGUCUCGUGAGGUUUCCUGGGUCACUCUUCAUAAUGGUUAGUUCUGGGCCUGGUCUGAACGAACUGUCCAGCCUGUGGUCCUGGUUUGGGGUUUUUGAAGGACCAGCCCAAGAUUCUGGGGCCCAGGGAGCUCCAAGAUUUGAGGCCCUAAUGGUAGGUUACAACUAAAAUGAUUUUGUCCCUGACGUUCGUGUCCUGAUUCCUAGGAACCAAGCUCUUGUAAAGAGGAAUCCCACCUGUAAGAUCGCCAGUCUGAAUGGCGAUCCCGGACCAGGGCUGCAGAGCAGAGGAGGGCGAGGCAGAGAAAGAGCAGACUGUAGAUUUGCAGGGCUAGUAGCAGUAUGUGAUCCUUGUGUUGUGCAAGCCACCCUUCAACCUUGACAACCUGAGGUCUGAGCCAGGUUUUAGGAGAGGUGAGUUAGGGCUAAGGCCAAAGGGCAAGCCUGCCAAGGAAAGGUCACUUCAUUUGCAGGUUUGAGAGAGGAUGGUCUGGGAGAAAGAAAUACCACCUACCACCAAGAAAAUUCUUUUUUUUUUUUUUGGGGGGGGGGUUGGUGACGGCAUUUUUCUUUUAUUGAAGUAUAGUUGACAUACAUUAUAUUGGUUUCAGGCGUACAAUAUAGUAAUUUGACAAUUGUGUACGGUACAAAAUUCUCCCCAACGGCAGGUGUAGUUACCCUCUGUGGGUGACACUGGUUUUCAACCCACCAAGAAAAUUCUGAGACCUCUCUAACAGACUUUGAUGUCUUUCAAAUGCUCCACCCUUUUCAGAUCCUGAGGGGCCCUUAUGCCACAUGCGGCAUUGACAGAUGUGUUGCAUCCUCUCCUCUGACUUCGCAGACUCAGAAGGUAGUGCAGGAAAGAACUUCUGGGUUACCUGUUUCUGCCUACAAUGAAAGAUGAAAAACACUGAGCCAGAGAGGCUCCACCUUUGUAGUUCCCUACAUGUUUCCUAGUUCCAUAGAAAAUGAAUAGAUCUCAGAGCAUGCGCAAGUAGGGGAGGGAGAGAGAGGAUCCAAAGUAGGCUGGAAAGCGCGGGACUUGAUCCCAUGAACUGUGAGAUGGUGACCUGAGCUGAAAUCAAGAGUUUGAUGCCUGACCCACUGAGCCACCCAGGAUGGAGGUGAAAGAAUUCACCAGAGGCAGAACAAAGGAGAUAGAAGUUUAUCAAAUACACCCCAAGGGAGUAGAGGGCAGGACAGCAAAGCAGAGGUUGUCUGCAAUAAGGCAGUGGUGGGUGCUGUAUUUAAAGGGGAAAAGUGAGAAGGUAGGGGACAAAUGGAAUUUUUCCCUUUCUUGGUAACUCUGCGUGGUUGUAACUAGCCCACUGAUUAGUUAAGGCCUAUGGAUAUUUUGAGGCGUGUCAUCUAAUGAGACUGUUUGUAUUCAGCCAGGGGAUUGGGGUCCCCCUGAGCCCUUUCUAUAUUCAUUGUUCAAGGCUGUUGCCUAAAUGUGGCCUCUACACUUACCAUUUAUUAACUCAUAUUUCAUCUGUAAAUUAUUUUGGAUUUUCUACCUACACAACUAUGUUGUAUGGACAUUUUUUACUUUUUCUUUUGUCUUUUUUUAAAAUUAAAAAAAAAAAUUUUAGAGAGAGCUUGCAAGUGGGGGGAGAGGGGCCGAGGGAGAGAGAGAGACAGAAAGACAGAGAGAAUCUUAAGCAGGCUCCAUGCUCGGCACAGAGCCCAAUGUGGGGCUCUCUCCCAUGUCCCUGAGAUCAUGACUAGGGCCAAAAUCAAGAGUUGGAUGCUCAACUAACUGAGCCACUUGGGUGCCCCCAUUUAAUAGAUUUUCGUUCAUUUAAAAAUUUAUAUUUUUUUAUUUUGUCUCUUUAUUGCUGCGGCUAGGAGCUAUAAAGUACUAUGGAAUAGGACUAGUCCAUCCUUGCUUUCUUUCCAGUCUCAAGGGAAAAUUUUUAAUAUUUUAUCACUUUGAUGUGUGCUGUAUGUUUUUUUGGUAGAUAUUCUUUGGGAAGUUUCCUUCUGCUCCUAGUUUGCUGAGCGUUUUUAUCAUCCAAUGGGUGUUGAUUACCGAGAUGAUUAUAUACGGUUUUCUCCUGUGUUCUUUUAAUGAUUGAUAUUAGCAUGUUGGUUGAGGUAAAUCUAUUAGUGCUUGAUUUUCAGAUGUUAAACCAGGAAAAAAAUCCCCCCUGGCCUUUUUAUUCUAUCACCUUUAAAUAUGUUUCAUGAUAAGUUGUCUACAGUUUUUGUCUUUGUCUUUGUUCAUGAGAGAGACUGUUAUUUUCCUUUCUUAUAAUGUCUUUGUCAGGUUUUAUGUCAAUUUUAUACUGGCCUCAAAAAACUUGUUACUGAUUUCCUCAUUACCUCAUCUCUGGAAGUGUUUGCGUAAGAUUGGUAUUAUUUAUUUUUUAUUUAUAAAAUUAAGUGAAUUUAUCUAGGGUCUGGAUUUUCUUUAUGGAAAUUUGAAAAAAUGUUUAUUUUUAAGAGAGAGAGACAGAGUGCGAGCGGGAGAAGGGCAGAGAGAGAGAGAGGGAGUCACAGAAUCCGAAGCAGGCUCCAGGCUCAGAGCUGUCAGCACAGAGUUUGAUGGGGCUGGAACUCAUGAACCGUGAGAUCAUGAGCUGACCUGAGGUCAGACACUUAACUGACUGAGCCACCCAGGCUCCCUUCUUUCUGGAAAAUUUUAAAGUAUAGAUUUAACUUCUUUAUAUUAAGGAAAUCUUGCUUUAGAACAUGAUAAAAGUUGUGGUUGUUUCUUCCCAGUUUGUCACUUGUCAUCCCCAAGUGGGAGUAGGUACUUUUUGUUCCAGCAAAAAGCAUGGCUCACACACACGAGUUCAGUUAACCAGAGUCCCACAAAGGGUUACUCACAGUUUGCUUUGCUUUCCAGCUCUUUCUCCCUGGACUGAUCUUCUGGGAGGGAGCCAACAAUGGUUGUUAAUUUAGCAUCCUGCUAUGAACUAAAAACCUUAAAACCCUAUCUUCUCCCUUCGUUUUUUUUUUAGUCAAACUCAGCAGUGCCCUCCAUUGCUGAAUCCAGUGGUAAAAGGCUUCUUCUUACGUGCUCUUUUAGUCACUUUUGACACCACUGGCUACUUUUUCCUUCUGAUUCACUUGAUUCACUUGGCUUUCACACUCUGUUAAUAUUCCUUCUCUCUCAUUUGCUCGUUCCUCCUUUUCUUCCUACCUCUGAAUGUUGGUGUGCCCUAGAGCUCAGUCCUUGGUCCUGGUCCUUCCUCUGUCUGAGCACCCCCUCUCCUUGACGGUCUCGUCUGUUCUCAUCUGCUGAUAAUCUCUGGCCUGCAGAUCUCUUCCUGCACUUGAGAUGCAUGUAUCUAACUGCUCUCUGUCUCCACUUGAAUGUUUUAUAGACUCAAGGUCAUUGUAACUAAAAUUGACUUCCUGGGCUUCCCCUCCCAAACCAGCCCCCUCUGGUGCCUUCUCCUUGUUUAAUAGCAGACUCUUUGGAAUCAUCCUUGACCUUUAAAAAAUUUUUUUUUUCAUUUUUCUUGUGCUCCAUAUCUUCUUUGUCAGCACAACCACUGGGCCCUGUAUCUAACAUGUAUCGAAAGUGUGACCUCUUCUGAUCUUCUCUGCUGCAGCUACCCUCACCAGGCCAGAAUAAUUGAUCUGCUGUUGUCUAGAUUAUAGAAAUAGUUACAGAGCAGGUCUUGCUGCUUCUCAAUCCUGGCCCCUCCGCACAGCAUCCACAGUGCUCUUUGUAGAAUAUGAGUCAGGUUCUUUUGGGUCGCUCCUCUGUUCGGCAUCUACAUUUUUUCUGAGUAAAAGCCCAAGUUCUUAUAGUGGCUUAUGUGGCUCAUUUUCGAUCCAUUUUGAUCUCACUUCCUUAGCCCCUUGAUCACUGUGCUCUAGCCCUGCUUGCUUGCUUGCUGUUCUGGAACAUACCAUGCGCAAUGCCACCUUCAUCCUUGUACCAAAUGUACCUUCCAAAUGUGCUUCACCCAGGGAGCCUGGUGGUGCACUCCCAUUCCUCCUCAGGGCUUGGCUCAAAGGUCACUGCUCAGUGCGGUCUAGGCAAACGCCCAGCUUAGAAUUGCUACACUAACCCCCAGUGUUCGCAUCGCCUAAUUUUGGUCUACUUUGUUUUUUUUUUUUUUUAAUUAAAAAAACACUUUUUUUUUUUUUUUUUAACAUUUAUUUAUUAUUGGGAGACAGAGAGACACAGACUGUGAGCAGGGGAGGGGUAUAGAGAGGGGAAGACACAGAAUCUGAGGUAGGCUUCGGGCUCUGAGCUGUCAGCACAGAGCUCUACGUGGGUCUCGAACUCACAAACUGUGAGAUCAUGACCUGAGGGGAAGUCAGUCGUUUAACCAACUGAGCCACCCAGGUGCCCUGGUCUACUUUGUAUUUUUAACAUAGCACUUUUCAUCUAACCUACUCUACGGUUUCUUUAUUAUUAUAUAGUUUACCCUCUGUUUUCCCCUUUCUGAAUCAAUGUAACCCCCCCCCCAACCCCUGAAGGCUAGAGGAGGUGAAUUUUGUUUUUCACUGUUGUAUCCCAAGUACCUAGGACAGCGGCACAUAGUGUUGAAAAUCAUUAAAUGGGGUGAGCAACCUGUGUGGCUCAGUUGGUUAAGUGUCCAAUGUUUGUUUUCAGCUCAGGUCAUGAUCUCACAGUUUGUGAGUUCAAGCCCCAUGCAGAGCUUUGCACUGACAGCAUGGAGCCUGCUUGGGAUUCUCUGUCUCCACCCCUCCCCGCCCCACACUCUUCCUUGCUUGUGCUCCUGUGCUCUCUCUCAAAAUAAAUACAUGAACAUUAAACAAAAUAAGAAGUGCCCACUUUGUUCUUUUCUAGGAAAUUAGUAAUUUGGAUGUUGGUUACUUUUCUUUGACCUAGUUUUUAAUUUGGAGACCAUCUCAUGAGUUAAUGACUUUUUGGUAGAGAUUAUAUUUUUCAUUUUGGUUUUAUAUGUCAUAAUCAGACAAAGUAGGUUAUAAAACCUCUUUUAUAGAAUUUAUAGAAUUUAAUAAUAUUUUCUCUGAAACCACAGUAUAACAGAACAAUUAUAAGCGGAUCUUUAUCGUCAGAUGACCCGAUUCCAGUUAAGGAUGACCUUAGAAAGUCGAUAACUUUUUUCUGUCUCAGUGUUCCUAUCUGUUAAUUGGGGGGAAAUAAUACCUAUGUUAUAGGUUUGCCCUGAAUAUGAAAUAAUAUAUAUUUAAAAUAUUCUGUGAAAGGUACUCUUCCAAGUAAGUGCCUGUUGAAUUUUAGCUGUCAUUUAUUACCUACACAAGGGUUAAAUAAACUCCACUUGAUACUUGUCCUUUUUUUUUUUUUUAAUUUUUUUUAAUGUUUAUUUAAUUUUG